AACGAACGCUGGCGGCAGGCUUAACACAUGCAAGUCGAACGCACUCUUCGGAGUGAGUGGCAGACGGGUGAGUAACGCGUGGGAAUCUACCCAGCCCUUCGGAAUAGCUCCGGGAAACUGGAAUUAAUACCGAGUACGCCCUACCGGGGAAAGGAAUUUAUUCGGGGUUGGGUAGUGAGCCCGCCGUUGGUAGUUAGUCUAGUUGGUUGGGGUAAGUGGCCGUACCAACGGACGACGAUCCAUAGCUGGUCUGAGAGGAUGAUCAGCCACACUGGGACGUGAGACACGGCCCAGACUCCUACGGGAGGCAGCAGUGGGGAAUAUUGGACAAUGGGCGGAAAGCCUGAUCCAGCCAUGCCGCGUGAGUGAUGAAGGCCUUAGGGUUGUAAAGCUCUUUCAGUGGGGAAGAUAAU
rnacentral:rRNA from 1 species